rnacentral:rRNA from 1 species
AACGAACGCUGGCGGCGUGCUUAACACAUGCAAGUCGAACGCGAAAGGGACUUCGGUCCUGAGUAAAGUGGCGCACGGGUGAGUAACGCGUAGAUAACCUGUCUUCAUGUCUGGAAUAAUACGCCGAAAGGGGUACUGAUACCGGAUAUUCUUGCUUUUCAUAAGUUAUGCAAGCAAAGGUGGCCUCUGCAUAUGCUACUGCAUGAAGAGGGGUCUGCGUACCAUUAGCUAGUAGGUGGGGUAAUGGCCUACCUAGGCGACGAUGGUUAGCGGGUCUGAGAGGAUGAUCCGCCACACUGGCACUGGAACACGGGCCAGACUCCUACGGGAGGCAGCAGUGAGGAAUAUUGCGCAAUGGGGGAAACCCUGACGCAGCGACGCCGCGUGAGUGAGGAAGGCCUUCGGGUCGUAAAGCUCUGUCAAGAGGAAAGAAGUGUACAAUGGCUAAUACCUGUUGUAUUUGACGGUACCUCUAAAGGAAGCACCGGCUAACUCCGUGCCAGCCGCGGC